rnacentral:rRNA from 1 species
UAUUUUCCUUUUUUUCCCUCAGCCGCGGUAAUACAGAGGUCUCAAGCGUUGUUCGGAAUCACUGGGCGUAAAGCGUGCGUAGGCUGUUUCGUAAGUCGUGUGUGAAAGGCGCGGGCUCAACCCGCGGACGGCACAUGAUACUGCGAGACUAGAGUAAUGGAGGGGGAACCGGAAUUCUCGGUGUAGCAGUGAAAUGCGUAGAUAUCGAGAGGAACACUCGUGGCGAAGGCGGGUUCCUGGACAUUAACUGACGCUGAGGCACGAAGGCCAGGGGAGCGAAAGGG